UUAUAUUUUUUGCUUUUGGCUAAGAUGAGUGUAAUAUAUGUUCUUAUCAGUUUAAUAUCUGAUAUAUGGAUCAUAUGCUCACUUUAAUAUUAAAUUUGUUUUUAUGAAUAUUUUUGUGGAGUAGUCUACCACAUAGCAACACAC
rnacentral:snRNA from 1 species